UAAGUAAGCUUUGAUCCAGAGAUUUCCGAAUGGGGAAACCCAGCAUGAGUUAUGUCAUGUUAUCGAUAUGUGAAUACAUAGCAUAUCAGAAGGCACACCCGGAGAACUGAAACAUCUUAGUACCCGGAGGAAGAGAAAGAAAAUUCGAUUCCCUUAGUAGCGGCGAGCGAAACGGGAAGAGCCCAAACCAACAAGCUUGCUUGUUGGGGUUGUAGGACACUCUAUACGGAGUUACAAAGGACGACAUUAGACGAAUCAUCUGGAAAGAUGAAUCAAAGAAGGUAAUAAUCCUGUAGUCGAAAAUGUUGUCUCUCUUGAGUGGAUCCUGAGUACGACGGAGCACGUGAAAUUCCGUCGGAAUCUGGGAGGACCAUCUCCUAAGGCUAAAUACUCUCUAGUGACCGAUAGUGAACCAGUACCGUGAGGGAAAGGUGAAAAGCACCCCGGAAGGG
rnacentral:rRNA from 1 species